UACCAUGGUGGUAACGGGUAACGGGGUGUUAGGGCACGACACCGGAGAGGGAGCCUGAGAAACGGCUACCACAUCCAAGGAUGGCAGCAGGCGCGCAAAUUACCCAAUCCCGAUACGGGGAGGUAGUGACAAUAAAUAACAAUACGGGGUUCUUUAGGAUCUCGUAAUUGGAAUGAGUACAAUUUAAAUCUCUUAACGAGGAACAAUUGGAGGGCAAGUCUGGUGCCAGCAGCCGCGGUAAUUCCAGCUCCAAUAGCGUAUAUUAAAGUUGUUGCAGUUAAAAAGCUCGUAGUUGAAUUUCGGGGUCAGUAGGUCGGUCGUGCCACUGGUAUGAACUGGUUUUACUGAUUCCUCCCUCUUGAAGAACUGUAAUGCCAUUAAUUUGGUGUUGCAGGGAAUCAGGACUGUUACUUUGAAAAAAUUAGAGUGUUUAAAGCAGGCUUUAGCUUGAAUACAUUAGCAUGGAAUAAUGAAAUAGGACGUUUGAUCCUAUUUUGUUGGUUUCUAGGAUUGACGUAAUGAUUAAUAGGGAUAGUUGGGGGCAUUAGUAUUCAAUUGUCAGAGGUGAAAUUCUUGGAUUUAUUGAAGACUAACUACUGCGAAAGCAUUUGCCAAGGAUGUUUUCAUUAAUCAAGAACGAAAGUUAGGGGAUAGAAGACGAUCAGAUACCGUCGUAGUCUUAACCAUAAACUAUGCCGACUAGGGAUCGGAUGAUGUUAAUUUUUUAAUGACUCAUUCGGCGCCUUACGGGAAACCAAAGUGUUU
rnacentral:rRNA from 1 species